UGGGUGUUUAUACUCACCAUGAAAUUGAGCCACUUUACUCAUAUUCAUGUGAAUUAUCUUUGAUACUUUCUUUUGUUAAUAAUUGUGAAAUUAUACUCAUAAUUUUUUUUUCUUUACAGUUUUAACAAUUUUUAGGAAAGGAGAUCUAGAAGCUCUUUUCAUCUACGUAUCAUUGUGUUCCAAUGCGACUACCAAGUUUAGGAAAAAUUUGUCCACAGAGAUGAAGCCCAUGAAUCGUUGUCCACAAAAUUAAAGUUCAAUGGCAGAGUUUCGUUUCGGUGAAUGGAUACGAUGUGGUGGAUACGAUACUGUGGAUACGAUGUGGUGGCUGCAAUGUUGUCGUUGUGAUGUGAUUUGGUGGCAGCGGUUCGAUGGUUAAGUCCAUGAAUCGUUGUCCACAAAUUAAAUUGAAGUUCAAUGGCAGAGUUUCGUUUCGGUGAAUGGAUACGAUGUGGUGGAUGCGAUGCAAAUUAUGGUUGCAAUGUGAUUUAUUGGCAGCGUUUGAUGGUUGCGAUGUGGUGGAUGCGACGCAAAUUAUGUGAUAAUUAAUGAUAAAGAUCAUGGAUGUGCUUGAAUGGCCAGCAGUUAGAAAUGUUUGUGUCAUAGUUUUUAAUGUAAGGAUUUCAUGUGUUAUGAUUACCGUGAAUGGUUAGUGUUUUUUCCUUUGAAAAUAUUUCUUCAAGAAUCUAUGGAUAUUGUAUAGUGAAUUUAUGGUGAAUUAAAAAUUGUUCAAGUA